GAUGAACGCUGGCGGCGUGCUUAACACAUGCAAGUCGAACGAAGCACCUUGAUUUGAUUCUUCGGAUGAAGAUCUUGGUGACUGAGUGGCGGACGGGUGAGUAACGCGUGGGUAACCUGCCUCAUACAGGGGGAUAACAGUUAGAAAUGACUGCUAAUACCGCAUAAGACCACAGUACCGCAUGGUACAGGGGUAAAAACUCCGGUGGUAUGAGAUGGACCCGCGUCUGAUUAGGUAGUUGGUGGGGUAACGGCAUACCAAGCCGACGAUCAGUAGCCGACCUGAGAGGGUGACCGGCCACAUUGGGACUGAGGCACGGCCCAAACUCCUACGGGAGGCAGCAGUGGGGAAUAUUGCACAAUGGGGUAAACCCUGAUGCAGCGACGCCGCGUGAGCGAUGAAGUAUUUCGGUAUGUAAAGCUCUAUCAGCAGGGAAGAAAAUGACGGUACCUGACUAAGAAGCACCGGCUAAAUACGUGCCAGCAGCCGCGGUAA
rnacentral:rRNA from 1 species